rnacentral:misc_RNA from 1 species
GAUGAAGAACGCAGCGAAAUGCGAUAAGUAAUGUGAAUUGCAGAAUUCAGUGAAUCAUCGAAUCUUUGAACGCACAUUGCGCCCGCCAGUAUUCUGGCGGGCAUGCCUGUUCGAGCGUCAUUUCAACCAUCAAGCCCUGCUUGCGUUGGGGUCCUGCGGCUGCCCGCAGGCCCUGAAAACCAGUGGCGGGCUCGCUAGUCACACCGAGCGCAGUAAUACAUCUCGCUUUGGGCGUGCGGCGGGUUCUUGCCGUUAAACACCCCCUUUUUACCAAGGUUGACCUCGGAUCAGGUAGGAAUACCCGCUGAACUUAAGCAUAUCAAUAAGUGGAGGA